UAACCUGCCUCAUACAGGGGGAUAGCAGCUGGAAACGGCUGAUAAACCGACAUAAGCGCACAGCAUCGCAUGAUGCAGUGUGAAAAACUACCGGUGGUAUGAGAUGGACCCGCGUCUGAUUAGCUGGUUGGUGAGGUAACGGCCACCAAGGCGACGAUCAGUAGCCGGCCUGAGAGGGUGACCGGCCACAUUGGGACUGAGACACGGCCCAA
rnacentral:rRNA from 1 species